rnacentral:ncRNA from 2 species
AAAGGACUUCAUUACUGACGGAUAAUGUGGGUUACCACAGGGGAAUGAAGUCUUGGAAUAAGCCGACCGUCUGGGCAGCAUCA